rnacentral:tRNA from 1 species
ACUACUUUGGCAGAUAAGUGCGGUGGAUUUAGAAUCUGUUUAUGUUGAAUUUUUUAUUUUACAGGUGGUA